rnacentral:SRP_RNA from 1 species
AGGCUGAGGCUGGAGGAUUGCUUGAGCCCCGGAGUUCUGGGCUGUAGUGCUUGCACUAAGUUCAGUGUCAUUAUGGUGUCAUUAUGGUGACCUGCCUGGAGUGGGGGACCACCAGGUUGCCUAAGGAGGGGUGAACCGGCCUAGGACAGGAAAGAGCAGGUCAGAACUCUGGUGCCAGUCAGCAGUAGGAUUGUGCUUGUGAAUAGCCACUACACUCCAGCCUGGGCAACAUAGCAAGACUCUGUCUCUU